AAUGGGAUCAUACUAUAAAUCCUGUACUGCUGUAUCACCCAUGCCAGACCAGCAGCCUGGGCAUCACCGCGAGUUUGUCAGAAAUGCAGACUCUCAGGCUUCACUCAUGACCUGCUGGAUCACAACCUGCAUUCAACCAGAACCAAGGGCCCCUGGAGAUUCCGGUGCACAUCAAAGUUGGAACUCUAAUACAUAUUAUCACAUGCAACUUGCUUUUUUAGCAACAGUAUGUCUUUGACGUCUUUCAGCGUAAGAAAAGUUUGGUCACAUUCCUUGUUCACGGCUGCAUAGUUUCCCACUGUUUGGCAGUGCUCUGGUUCUGUUCCCUGGUCUGCUAAAAAUGACUGUGCUGGGCUUGAAGAACGGAUGGAUAAAAUGCCACUUGGAGGGGAGUGUGAAUAGAGAAGUGCUGAUGUUCUGGGCAGAGGAAUCAGCAUAAGCAAAGGUUACUGUGCUGAUUCAACCCUCAGGAGGGAGAAGUUCUUAUUAGUUCCCCUUGACAGAUGAGGCAACUGAGGCACAAAGAGGAAUGUGGCUGAGGUCACGAAGCCAGAAAGUGAUGGAGUGAAGAUGUGAAUUGGAGUCUGGCCGGGAGCUGUCGCUAAGCACGGACUAUUCCUGGGGUUUCUGAGCUGGGCGUCUGGUUGUGGGUAUACUCUGUGAGCCUGCGUUGGUGUGCUGUGCUGGGUGCCUUGCUGGGACUUGCUGCUGUGCGGUGAUGGACGUAGAUGUCAAGAAGGGAAGAGCUGCUGUGAUGAACACCAGCCCGAGGAUGGAAGGAGGAAACUGCAUCCUGGAGUCAUUCGUUCAUUCGUUUGCUCAUUAAUCAACCUUCCCCAAGCAACCAUGAUGUACAGGGCUCUGAGCUGGUGUCCCAAGGACAUGGGGACAACUCAGCAGCUGCCUUCUACUGUCAAAGGGCACGUGACAUUACUGAGGGCAGAAAUAAGAGGAGGAAGUAGCAGGUUACAGGAUAAGGACACCAUCAUUAAUAGCUGGUUAGGAAGUGUACUGGGAAAAUAGCGACAAUAGCUACUAUAGAAACUGCACAGAUGCUAGAUCAAGAAGCCUGCAAAACCAUAACGUAACGCAGUGCUUGAAUAGAUGGAGAUGUGUACCUCAUUCUUAAACUGAAAAACUUGGGAUAAAGUUGGCUGUGUUUCUCCAACUUAAACACAUUUCAUGCAACACCAGUUGAAAUUCUGAUGGGAUUUUGGCAUGGGUGGGGGAGGGAGAAGGUUUGACAAAAAUCAUUCUGUAACUUACCCCCCAAAAUCUACAUGAUUGGGAAUUGGCAAAUUUUAAAAAAAACAUAACAGUAUCAGGGGCUUGUGUGGUUAGGCAUUAAAAUAUAUUCCAAAACUAUAACAAUCACACUAUGUGAUAUCAUCACGGGAAGAGACAAGUAGAUUCCUGGAGCAAAUAGGUCUGGACAUAGAGCCACGUGAGUAUGAGUCUACUUCAUGAUAAAGGUGCAUCUCAAAGUGGAGGCAGGAAUGAGGCCUCCAGGUGAUGCUACGUCGUCAGACUUCAUUUGGGAUGCAGAGAGAUGGGGCCUUUCUUCUCCCUCGGAACAUACUUUAUUGGGGGGCUUUGCCUGUAAGGGACUGAUUAAAAGCAAUUAACAUGAGUCUAGCCCCAAACAGUGUCCCCAGAGUGUUUCCAUCCACAAUCUAGUCUGGUCUUCAAGGAGGCAGCACAAGGUCAUAUACAUUAAAAAAAAAAAAGUUCACUCCCUCCCCAUGAUAAAGUCAUCCAACUGGUCACAGUAAAUUAGUAAAAAAGGAGAGAAAGUGAAUCCCCCCCAGCCCCCAACCCAUGAGCCCACUACACACAUUUAUUCUUUCCAAAACUGGGGUCAUAAUGUGUAUGCACUUUUGUAACCUACUGGGUUCAAUUCAUAUCAUAUCAUGAGUGUUUAAAUAUCCUUUGAAGACAUACUUUCUGAAGGCUGUGUGCUAUUCCUUAAGAGGCAGACACCAUGAUUUAUUUAGCUGUUCUCCAAGUUGAUUAUUUUCCAGACAGCUAUUAUAAAUAAUGUUUCUGUGAGCGACCUGCUGGCUUUUUAAAAAAAGUAUACUUUAAUUUUAUUGGAGUAUAGUUGAUUUAUAAUGUGUUAGUUUCAGGUAUAGAGCAAAUUGAUUCAGUUAUACAUAUACAUAUAUUCGUUCUUUUCUAGAUGCUUUUCUCAUAUAGGUUAUCACAGAAACCUGCUGUCUUUUUAAAAAAUAAAUUUAUUUAAUU